rnacentral:rRNA from 1 species
ACAAAGGUAUUGUAAUAAGAUUUUAAUUGAAUGCUAAAAGAAUGGAAAUUUAAAAAAAAACUUUUUUAAAAAUAAAAAUUGAAUUUUUUUUAAUUUGUGCAAAAACAAUUAUACUUAUUAAAGACAAGAAGACCCUAAGAAUUUAAGAUUUUACAAUUAAAAAGUUUUUUUUUAAAAUCUUGAUUGGGGCGAUCAAAAAAUAUUAAUAACUUUUUAAAAUUUAAAUUGAUCUAUUAUUAAUAAACUAAUGAAUUAAAUACUCUAGGGAUAACAGCGUAAUAAUUUUUGAUAGAUCUUAUUGACAAAAUAGUUUGCGACCUCGAUGUUGGAUUAGGAUUCUUUUUUAAUGAAGAAGUUAAAAAAAGAAGUUUGUUCAACUUUUAAAUUCCUACUUGAUCUGAGUUCAGACCGG